AACGAACGCUGGCGGCAGGCCUAACACAUGCAAGUCGAGCGAAGCCUUCGGGCUUAGCGGCGGACGGGUGAGUAACGCGUGGGAACGUGCCCUUUGGUACGGAAUAGCCCCGGGAAACUGGGAGUAAUACCGUAUGUGGUCGAGAGACGAAAGAUUUAUCGCCAAAGGAUCGGCCCGCGUUGGAUUAGGUAGUUGGUGGGGUAACGGCCUACCAAGCCGACGAUCCAUAGCUGGUUUGAGAGGAUGAUCAGCCACACUGGGACUGAGACACGGCCCAGACUCCUACGGGAGGCAGCAGUGGGGAAUCUUAGACAAUGGGGGAAACCCUGAUCUAGCCAUGCCGCGUGAUCGAUGAAGGCCUUAGGGUUGUAAAGAUCUUUCAGUGGGGAAGAUAAUGACUGUACCCACAGAAGAAGCCCCGGCUAACUCCGUGCCAGCCGCCGCCGUAACAC
rnacentral:rRNA from 1 species